AGCAGCCGCGGUAAUUCCAGCUCCAAUAGCGUAUAUUAAAGUUGUUGCAGUUAAAAAGCUCGUAGUUGAAUUUCGGGGUUAGUAGGUUGGUCAUGCCUCUGGUAUGUACUGGUCUCACUGAUUCCUCCUUCCUGAUGAACCGUAAUGCCAUUAAUUUGGUGUUGCGGGGAAUUUGGACUGUUACUUUGAAAAAUUAGAGUAGUUUAAAGCAAGCUAACGCUUGAAUACAUUAGCAUGGAAUAAUGAAAUAGGACGUUCGAUCCUAUUUUGUUGGUUUCUAGGAUUGACGUAAUGAUUAAUAGGGAUAGUUGGGGGCAUUAGUAUUCAAUUGUCAGAGGUGAAAUUCUUGGAUUUAUUGAAGACUAACUACUGCGAAAGCAUUUGCCAAGGAUGUUUUCAUUAAUCAAGAACGAAAGUUAGGGGAUCGAAGACGAUCAGAUACCGUCGUAGUCUUAACCAUAAACUAUGCCGACUAGGGAUCGGAUGAUGUUAAUUUUUAAUGUACUCAUUCGGCGCCUUA
rnacentral:rRNA from 1 species